rnacentral:lncRNA from 1 species
CUUUAAAAUCAUUUCUAAGAUAUACUCAACAUGUAAGGGAAGAGAAUUUCACCCAGUUUGAUUUUUAUGUCUUUAUAGGAUUAUCUCUGAGUAACUGCACUGGUGUUAUGUAAAUGUCGGAAAUCGGCAUGCAUUUCUGAUCAAAGCUGUUUUGUCUGAUCAGCGACCUGGAAGCAUUUACGACUUCUAUGGAAGAUUUGAAACUGGUCACUGUGAACACCAAUUGUGUGCUGGCUCUGGACACUGAUUACACCUUCUGCCUGACUCAGAGGACUUAGGCUCAAUCUCUGCAGAAGCCUUUUACUCACCUCAUUCAGGCUAUGGGGACAUGUCUUCACCCAGGAAGGUUAGAAGAGACUCUGGCGAAGAGCUAGAAGUCGCAUAGUGCCAGAUCUGGACGUGAAGGAGGAAUUCCAGGACUGCUUCCAAAAGUGACAAGAACAACGGGAAAAUGAUAAUGGAGGAUAUGACUCUGACACAGAAGACCUGAAUUCCCAGGAGAAUUUGCAUUCAUUAAGUAAGAAAAAUACGUUUUCAUCAAAGGUAAAACCAAAAGGAGAGGGCCCUCUGCUUACUGAUGGUAGAUGAUACCUGGAUCAUUGACUCAGCUCUCUGGGGAAUAGGUAUCUAUUAUACUGUCCUCACCACAG